rnacentral:rRNA from 1 species
CUCAGAUUGAACGCUGGCGGCAGGCCUAACACAUGCAAGUCGAGCGGCAGCGGGAAAGUAGCUUGCUACUUUUGCCGGCGAGCGGCGGACGGGUGAGUAAUGCCUAGGGAUCUGCCCAGUCGUGGGGGAUAACAGUUGGAAACGACUGCUAAUACCGCAUACGCCCUACGGGGGAAAGGAGGGACCUUCGGGCCUUUCGCGAUUGGAUGAACCUAGGUGGGAUUAGCUAGUUGGUGAGGUAAUGGCUCACCAAGGCGACGAUCCCUAGCUGGUCUGAGAGGAUGAUCAGCCACACUGGAACUGAGACACGGUCCAGACUCCUACGGGAGGCAGCAGUGGGGAAUAUUGCACAAUGGGGGAAACCCUGAUGCAGCCAUGCCGCGUGUGUGAAGAAGGCCUUCGGGUUGUAAAGCACUUUCAGUCAGGAGGAAAGGUAGCGUGUUAAUAGCACGUUGCUGUGACGUUACUGACAGAAGAAGGACCGGAGUU